UCACAUUGUCUAUAAACUUGAACAAAUAAUGAGGCUGGGGUCCCCAAGCACGAAGGAGACAAGGGAAACAGUCUGGUAAACGUAUAAUGGGAUAAUGUAAAAAAUACAGUCAAGGGCAAAGGAAGGAGAAGGGGGAUUUUCUCUACAGGUUCAGGAAAGGCCUCCGGACUGCAAUGACAAAUGUGCUUGUGUGACAUAGCUCAGAUCCAUCCUCAUGGAUACAGGGGUA